UACGUAGGUGACCAGCGUUGUCCGGAUUUACUGGGCGUAAAGAGCGCGCAGGCGGUCGUUCAAGUCGAGUGUGAAAGCCCCCGGCUCAACUGGGGAGGGUCAUUCGAUACUGAUCGACUGGAAGGCAGGAGAGGGAAGCGGAAUUCCAGGUGUAGCGGUGAAAUGCGUAGAUAUCGUAAGGAAGACCAGUGGCGAAGGCGGGUCUCUGGACAGUUCCUGACGCUGAGGCACGAAGGUCAGGGGAGCAAACGGG
rnacentral:rRNA from 1 species